rnacentral:lncRNA from 1 species
AAAUUUGCAUCUCAAGGAUGAAUGCCACCUAACCAUAGCAAAUCACCUUUACAAAAUGUUUCACAUUUUAUGUUUGUGUGUACUUGUGUAUGGGUGUAGGUGUGGGCACACACACACAACUUGUUAGGCUUGAUGGCAAGCACCAUUACCCACUGAGUUAUCCUACAGACACCAAAGCACCUGACUAUGCUAACUGUGUGCACUACCACUGAGCUGUAUUCAUAGCCCACAAGAAAUAUUUAUUUCAUUUUAUAGAAAAAAUAGGUUAAAAAACUGAAAUCUAUAUCUAUUGUCUUAAACUUUUAUCCCAGUGGUCUUUCAUUAACUUUAUAUUCAAAGAAGGAAUAUAUCUGAAAUCUUACUUUGAUUCUAAAUACAAUAAAGAACACUACUGAAACAAAACAAAAAUGAAAAAAUAGAAAAUCUGAAAAGACCAAUGAGUAAGGAAUUUGAGUCAGUAAUAGAAUCUCUCCCAUAGUGGAAAUCCCAGAACCUUAUAUUUGAGGCCUUGAAUUCAACCCUUACCAGGAGAAGAUUUCUUUCCUUGUAUACAAAAACAUUCUUCAGGGCCCAUAAGAUGGCUCAGCAGGUAAAGUGCUUGCCGCCAAGCCUCCCAAUGACUUCUGUCUCUAGGACACACAUCGUGAAGAGAGAGAAUCAACUUCCUAGUCUGUGUGAAUAACAUGUACUUUCCUCCUAAUAAAACAUUGGCUUAUAGCAGUUAAAUUUUUAAUUGCAAUUUAGUAAUUUCUAUUUUCUAAGAUAACAUUCUUUAGCUGCAUCAUUUUAGCAGAUUUUGAUUAUAUUUUAUUAUAAAAUGGACUAUUACUGUUGCAAAUAAAAUAUAUAAAAUAUUUCAAUAUGUAAAUGUUUUUAUUGAGAUAUGGUCUGUAGCCCAGGCUGAUUUAAAACUUACAGCAGUACUCCUUCCUCAGCCUCCUAAGUGCUGUAAUUAGAGACAUGAACCACUACACUAAGCUGCAACUCUCCUGUUUAAGAAAUAAAAAAGGAUUUGGUAGUACAGAGAUGCAGAUUAGUGCAUCUCUCAACCUCUGUCACAGAAACUUCUAUUUGCAGUGGACAAUGAUUAACUAAAAGACCCACAAAUGGCCAAAGAGGUGCACAGAAUAAGACACUGCAGAACACUCAACCCUAAAUGGAAUAUCUUUACUGAACAUUCUCCCUCCUCCCCAAACUCAGGGAUCUCUUGGAAGAGGGAAUGGAAAGACUAUAAGAGCCAAUGGUGUGAAUAAGUACAAACAAACAGUAGCUUCUAGACAUACAGGACAGCUGCACAUAUAAACUCACAGCAGUCAUUAACAUACACAAGCCCUGUGCAAGCUCAAGCCAGACCAAAUCCUAGAAUGAGGAAGGAAAGUAGACAGGGUCCCACCCCUAGCUGAGGAGCUACUUGCAAAUGAUAACUGCUGGGAAGGAGAAUCUGUUUUCUUUGAAAGACUUGCUGCUGUUAGGUUGACCAUACUCUAGUGGAAGACUACACAUCCAUAAAUACAUAUACUGAAUGAGUAGGGGAAAAAACACACAAAGUUGGGUGGUCAGGAAAGAAGAGUGAUCUGGAAGUAGUUAGGGGAGGGAGUGAAUAUGAUCAGAACUUAAUUCUCAAAGAAUUAAAAGAUAGGAAAAAUGGAGAAAGAAUUUGGUGUUUCUAUAAUAAUAUUUUCAGUAACAUAUAUCUUUUACUACAUUGGAGAGAAGAGGAAAGGAAUUAUACACAACUUGAAGCAGCUUUCCUUUAACUCACUGCCAGUUAAUCUUGAUUAACUUCCAGGAAUGCUUCUUAUGUAAUGAGUAUCAUCCAUUCUCUAACUUUAUUUUUUCUAAAGGAAAUAUAUAAUAAAUCACAGUAAGCUAAAAAGCAUCAGCUGUCCUCUUCAGAAGGGUCAUUUGUGUCUCUUAUCUAGUUCAGAAAUUUUUGCCUGUUUCUAUCCGGAAACAAUUCAUUUUUAAAAACUCUUAGUGAUGUAACAUGACAGGCAAGGUUCCUACUGUCAUUGAGCUUACAUGCUAAUGCAAUGAGUAGACAAUACAUACGAAUGAAAUUCAUUUCAGAAAAUAAGGACUUUGAAGUGAGGGGAAUGGAAUAGAGUACUGAGAAAGGGAGUAUCUACUCCAUUCCCUGCAGCUCUAGGGAUUGACCCCAAGGCCUUGUGCAUGCUCGGCAGUCACCGAGCUACAUCUGUAGCCAGGUGAAGCCUUCUUCAGAGGCAUCUGACCAGGUUGACCCCUAAACUAUGGGGUGAAGACACAGCUCUGUAGGAAACUGAGGUGGAAGCUUCUGCGGUACUGGUUUGUUUCCCUGAGACCAUUCACUCGUCAAUAAAAAGGUAUUUGCUUAAAUAAAAUUGAGCAGAGUUCAGAAAUGUUCAAGAACUUUCUUUGCCUGUAUAGUCAAACCUCAAAGCAUUGUUCCAUAAUGGAUAGACGUCAACAGAUUUAUCUCCUAAUAUUCCUUUUAUAAAAUUUUCUUCUUGGUUGUCCAAUAUAGCAUUGGUACAACCCUUCCCUGCCCUUAAUUUAUAACUGGCAUAUUUUUUCAUUCCUUCCAUCAUUUCUUUUUUUGUUUUUUUGUUUGUUUUGUUUGGGGUGGGGAUUGUAUUUUUGCAACAGGGUUUCACUAUGUAACUCUAGCUCUCCUGGAACUUUAUUAUACUGGCUAUAAGAUUUUAAAUUAAAUUUCUACUUAAGUGUCC